rnacentral:rRNA from 1 species
ACUCAAAUGAAUAGACGGGGACCCGCACAAGCAGUGGAGCAUGUGGUUUAAUUCGAUGCAACGCGAAGAACCUUACCCAGGCUUGACAUGCAGUAGACAGCGCCAGAGAUGGCGCCUUCCUUCGGGACUGCUGCACAGGUGCUGCAUGGCUGUCGUCAGCUCGUGCCGUGAGGUGUUGGGUUAAGUCCCGCAACGAGCGCAACCCUUAUCACUAGUUGCCAACACGUAAUGGUGGGAACUCUAGUGAGACUGCCCGGGUUAACCGGGAGGAAGGUGAGGAUGACGUCAAGUCCGCAUGGCCCUUAUGUCUGGGGCUACACACGUGCUACAAUGGCCGGUACAGAAGGCUGCCAAACCGCGAGGUGGAGCAAAUCCCAAAAACCGGUCCCAGUUCGGAUUGUAGUCUGCAACUCGACUACAUGAAGUUGGAAUUGCUAGUAAUGGCGAGUCAGCUACAUCGCCGUGAAUACGUUCCCGGGUCUUGCACACACCGCCCGU